AAAAUAAAACAAAAGGUUGUAUCAUCUUCAACCUUGGGCAUUACCACCGAAAAUUGAAGAAAAAGAAAGAAUAUUAGGGCUUUGAAGCAUUCGGUCAUAUCUCCCUAUUUCAUUGAUUUGGAAGCUUACUUGUUUUGGAAGUUGUCGGAGAUUGCAUCGCACUAUCGAACUCUUAUUUUGGUACUUUUGGACUUUAUGUAUUUUUGUUAUAUGGCAUGUAUAGGUCAUUUGGCUAUUGGAAGCCUAUAUGUUUUGUUAUGUAAUUAGUCAUUUAAUGUGGCUUGAUUUGGUAUAUGUUGGUAUGUA